UGCCAGCAGCCGCGGUAAUACGGAGGGGGCUAGCGUUGUUCGGAAUUACUGGGCGUAAAGCGCGCGUAGGCGGCGUAUCAAGUUGGGCGUGAAAUCCCGGGGCUCAACCCCGGAAGGUCGCACAAAACUGGUAUGCUAGAGGCCGAGAGAGGGUAGUGGAAUUCCCAGUGUAGAGGUGAAAUUCGUAGAUAUUGGGAAGAACACCAGUGGCGAAGGCGGCUACCUGGCUCGGACCUGACGCUGAGGUGCGAAAGCGUGGGGAGCAAACAGGAUUAGAUA
rnacentral:rRNA from 1 species